GAUGAACGCUAGCGAUAGGCUUAACACAUGCAAGUCGAGGGGCGGCACAAGGUAGCUUGCUAUCUGGGUGGCGACCGGCGCACGGGUGCGUAACGCGUAUGCAACUUGCCCUAUACAGGAGGAUAACCCGUCGAAAGACGGACUAAUACUGCGUAUGCUCACAACUUGGCAUCAAGUGGUGAGGAAAGAAAUUCGGUAUAGGAUAGGCAUGCGUCCCAUUAGCUUGUUGGUGAGGUAACGGCUCACCAAGGCAACGAUGGGUAGGGGAACUGAGAGGUUUAUCCCCCACACUGGUACUGAGACACGGACCAGACUCCUACGGGAGGCAGCAGUGAGGAAUAUUGGUCAAUGGGCGCGAGCCUGAACCAGCCAAGUCGCGUGAAGGAUGACUGUCUUAUGGAUUGUAAACUUCUUUUAUACGGGAAUAACAAGAGUCACGUGUGACUCCCUGCAUGUACCGUAUGAAUAAGCAUCGGCUAACUCCGUG
rnacentral:rRNA from 1 species